rnacentral:rRNA from 1 species
CUGUACAGUUCAGAGUUUGAUCCUGGCUCAGAUUGAGCGCUGGCGGCAGGCCUAACACAUGCAAGUCGAGCGGAUGACGGGAGCUUGCUCCUUGAUUCAGCGGCGGACGGGUGAGUAAUGCCUAGGAAUCUGCCUGGUAGUGGGGGACAACGUUUCGAAAGGAACGCUAAUACCGCAUACGUCCUACGGGAGAAAGCAGGGGACCUUCGGGCCUUGCGCUAUCAGAUGAGCCUAGGUCGGAUUAGCUAGUUGGUGGGGUAAUGGCUCACCAAGGCGACGAUCCGUAACUGGUCUGAGACGGACUGAUCCAGUCACACUGGAACUGAGACACGGUCCUAG